UAGGGAAUAUUGCAAAAUGGGCGAAAGCCCGAUGCAGCAACGCCGCGUGGGCGAUGAAGGCCUUCGGGUCGUAAAGCCCUUUUUGAGGGGAUGAGGAAGGACAGUACCCUCAGAAUAAGCCUCGGCUAACUACGUGCCAGCAGCCGCGGUAAUACGUAGGGGGCAAGCGUUGUCCGGAUUUACUGGGUGUAAAGGGCGCGCAGGCGGGAUAAAAAGUCAGUGGUGAAAUCCUACAGCUUAACUGUAGAACUGCCUUUGAUACUGCAAGCCUAGAGUAUGGAAGAGAGUGAUGGAAUAUCUGGUGUAGCAGUGAAAUGCGUAGAUAUCAGAUAGAACACCUAUGGCGAAGGCAGUCACUUGGUCCAUUACUGACGCUAAAGCACGAAAGCGUGGGUAGCAAACA
rnacentral:rRNA from 1 species